rnacentral:rRNA from 1 species
GAUGAACGCUAGCGGCAGGCUUAAUACAUGCAAGUCGUGGGGCAGCGCAGGUAGCAAUACUGGGCGGCGACCGGCAAACGGGUGCGGAACACGUACACAACCUUCCGAGAAGUGGGGAAUAGCCCAGAGAAAUUUGGAUUAAUACCCCGUAACAUAACGAUGUGGCAUCACAUUGUUAUUAUAGCUUCGGCGCUUCUUGAUGGGUGUGCGGCUGAUUAGAUAGUUGGCGGGGUAACGGCCCACCAAGUCUACGAUCAGUAGCUGAUGUGAGAGCAUGAUCAGCCACAAGGGCACUGAGACACGGGCCCGACUCCUACGGGAGGCAGCAGUAAGGAAUAUUGGUCAAUGGACGCAAGUCUGAACCAGCCAUGCCGCGUGAAGGAUUAAGGUCCUCUGGAUUGUAAACUUCUUUUAUCUGGGACGAAAAAAGGCGAUUCUUCGUCACUUGACGGUACCAGAUGAAUAAGCACCGGCUAACUCCGUGCCAGCAGCCGCAGUAAAAC